CCUACGGGUGGCAGCAGUGAGGAAUAGUGGUCAAUGGACGAGAGUCUGAACCAGCCAAGUAGCGUGAAGGAUGACGGCCCUAUGGGGUGUAAACUUCUUUUAUAUGGGAAUAAAACGUUGCACGUGUGGGCUUUUGUAUGUACCAUAUGAAUAAGGAUCGGCUAACUCCGUGCCAGCAGCCGCGGUAAUACGGAGGAGCCGAGCGUUAUCCGGAUUGAUUGGGUUUAAAGGGAGCGUCGGUGGAUUGUUAAGUCAGUUGUGAAAGUUUGCGGCUCAACCGUAAAAUUGCAGUUCAAACUGGCAGUCUUGAGUACAGUAGAGUUGGGCGGAAUUCGUUUUGUAGCGG
rnacentral:rRNA from 1 species